rnacentral:sRNA from 1 species
GGGGGCCAGAGGAGGGACAGUUAUGGGCAGUGGCAAGAGGAAGCUGCUUGUGGCUGUGGGUAGGACCGACCGCAGGUGUUCCCUCCCCAGGCUUCAUCGAGGACCCUGAGAGGAAGUAUCACUUUGAGUGCAGCAGCGAGGAGCAGUGUCAAGAGUGGAUGGAGGCUCUGCGUCAGGCCAGCUACGAGUUCAUGCGGAGAAGCCUCAUCUUCUACAGGAAUGAAAUACGGAAGGUGACGGGCAAGGUGUGUGCAGGGCUGCAGAGGGCUGGGGUGGGGCUGCAGGUGGCUGGGGUGGGGCUGCAGGUGGCAGAAGCAGUCCUCCGGCCCUGGCUCAUGGCCACCCGUCCACCCCACAGGACCCCCUGGAACAGUUCGGCAUAUCCGAGGAGGCCAGGUUCCAGCUGAGUGGCUUGCAGGCAUGAGCGCAGGGCAUGGCGGUCAGCGUGCAGCUGGACAGGACUGGCCCUGCCCAGCCGUGAAUCGCUUGGCGAUGCCUGGAUUUGUUUUGUUUUGGUUUUUGGGUCAGGGUCUCACUGUGUUGCCCAGGCACAGUGGUGCCACAGCUCACUGUGACCUUGACCUUCUGGACUCAAGUGAUCCUCCUGCCUCAGCUUCCCAAGUAGUGGGGGUCACAGGCAUGAGCCGCCACACCCGGCCAUCACACCUGGAUUUUCAGUGGGAGGUUUUUGGUUUGGAGACAUCCAAAGCCUGAAGCCAGAUGGGUGUGGGCAGGGGCUGCAUUUUAUGAAACUGCCCAGCAAGCUGCCCUCCCUGAGGCCCCAGGAUCCACCUAACUGGCCUGGCACCUGGUGCCACAUGCUGCUGCCAGGAUAUGCGCCCUCCCACAGGUGCCCCGCCUGAGUUGUGUGCAUCCAGGACCUGGCGAGCCC